ensembl:lncRNA
AAAGUAAGGAUGAUGCUAAACUUCCUAUACCUCCAGAAAUGUUCUAGAUAAAGAUACAGCUAAAAUGUACAGAGAAAGUUGGGGAAAGGUAAAUGAUGCCCCUUUUUCCCAGGGUGACCUAGUGGAGUGACGGAACCUCCAGGGGAUACUGGCAUUGGGUUUCCUACACCUAAGGCCAGUUUAAGUCUGUUGUUAGGGGUGACUCUCUAGGGGUGAUCUCUCUAGUGAUAUCUCAGACUCUAAUCCUAAUUUAUCCUGUGUCCUAGGGUGAUAAAGGAAACCAGGGAAGACCUGGACCCACCAGUCCCAUGGGUGUGAGUGAACCAGGACUGCUGUAUGUCUACUAGAGUCUGAUUGGUCCUCCAGGGCUCCAGGGAACACAAGGGUUCCAAGGAGAGGAUCUACCAGGGCCUAAGGAUGACAUGGGUUCAAAGGUGACAAGGGAAACACAGGAGCCCCAGGGUUCCCAGGAUUGAUGGGUUUUCCUGACCGCGGCAGCUUUCCAAUCUUUGGGGUUUUCAGAUGACACGAAAGAGAGGUUGAACAGGGUGACCAGGGCUUCCCAGGGUAGCACGGACCACAGGGAGAG